CAGAGAAACCCUGCCUCGAAAAACCAAAGAUGAUAGAUAGAUAGAUAGAUGGAUAGAUAGAUAGAUAGAUAGAUAGAUAGAUAGAUAGAUAGAUAGAUAGAUAGAUAAAAUUCUUAAAAAAUUAAAGACUUAAAAUGACCAGUGGGAAAACGCUGCUCCAUCUUUUUCUAGAGGCAGUACUCCCUGAAUCCCAAGCAGGCGAGGCCCGAGCCGUGGCGAUGAGAGGCUCUUAUUUGAAGCAGCUGCAAUCUCAACUCAUUGCUUUGUGACUCAGCGCACUUAAUGCACCCUGGAUGCCAGCCUCCCAGUCUCACGAGGUGUUGCCGCAGUCGGUCAGAGGCCCAGCUCUCCUCACUGGGGCCUUCUGCGGUGCUCUGUGGCCAGCUGUUGGACUGGAAUGGAGCAGAUUCAAGGCCCUAAAACUCAAUAACUCUGACUACAGAAAGACAACCUUUGACCAUGUCCUCAUAGGAAGGCUGGAUCACCUCCAGUUCCUGGCCCUGGAUUCGUACAUCCUACCUCUCCUUAGCAUGAACCCCAAGGACAGAACCCAUCUGGCUGGUGGCCCUUUUCACCUAGCCAGAGCCAUUGUUACCCGUACCCCAGAGAAUUGGGCCCAAAUCCCUGAGGAAGGAAUGGUAUGGGAAAAACAAGUGUCUGAGUUUAAAAUCUUUUAAGAAAUUAGGGUGAAAUGAUAAAUAAUGACCAGGAAUGGUGGUGCCCACCUUUAAUCCCAACACUCGGGAGGCCGAGGCAGGCCAGCCUGGUUUACAGAGUGAGUUUGAGGUCGGUGCAGGGACACAGUGAGAAAAAAUAAGAGAGAGUCUCGCAGCUGGGUUUGGGUGUGAGAUGGCCGGCUAAGAGAAGAGGAAGAGAGUGGGAGAUAUAACCCAGAUGAACGGAUCUGAGUAGACCCUGCGGGUCAGGGAGAGCUCGCUCACAAGAGGCAGCCACUGCUUGACGCAGGGGCUUAUCCGAACUCUCUGUCCAAGAGAAGACGGAAGUCUUCAGCUGGUUGAUUUUCCCAGCAGACCUGCUUUACUUUUCAUUUUGAGUGCUUUCAGGGAAACAGGAUUUAACCCUGGACAGAUGCAUCUAGAUAGUAACUUACUGGAAUUUGACAGAUUGCGCGCCCCCCUUUGUAGAUUUAUUUAUGUUACUUUGUGUGUAUGUAUGAGUGUGUCGUGCUGUAUGUAUGCAGAAGAGGACAUCGGAUCCCUGGAA